rnacentral:lncRNA from 1 species
AGGGAAACCGCCACGACCCAGUUUUUCCCACCUGCCCUACUCACCCAGAGGCGGUGUCCCGCGACCCAACAGCUAAUGGAAGUUAUGCAAAAUCUGUUAGGGUGUGUCAUGAACAGCAGACACCUGCGGGGUCUUCGCUUUCUCUCUGGCUGUUUCCACGGUUCGGAAUGGGUGCUGCUCUGCACCCACAGAUAUUAAAAGUGAGCGGUUUUAAGGCACUUCCUGGGUGCCAGGCACUCCUCGGGAUUUCUACGCAGAUUCGUUUCAUAUCCACAACCACAUCCGAUCUCAGGUAGGCAUCCUGACUAUUCCCUUUUAGAGAUGGGAAGCUAAGGCCCAGAAGGGUUAAGUGACAUGCUCCGGGUCACAGAGCUUUGCAAGUGGCAGAGCCUGGGCUGCCUCCUGUGACUUUUAUUUUUUGUUUUGAAUCACACCAGGGAAGAAUAAGUCAGUUCUUUAAUGGCUCUAGCUGAGGUUGAUCAGAACUCCGC